CGUUAAAACACCAAUUCCCGUACAAUCACCGAAGUUAAGCAACGUCUAUUCUGGUUAGUACCUAUAUGGGUGAACACUUGCGAAGAUCCGGUGCUGUAAG